CAGAGGUCUGCUGCACAGACUUACUUUUAUUUUUCAAUGGACGAAAUAGACCUAAGACUCUUAGAGUCCAGCCCAUCUAUUGGGGCUGAUCUCCUGGCACAGAGAAGAUCAUGAAUCACUGCCACAUGGAAAAAGCAAAAGAAUAUUUAACGGGCAACUUGACCUCUGGUCAGAACAUCCCAAACAGUUGAGAGCAAGGACAGAGCCUUUGGUAUUAAAUGCCUCUGAACUGAAAGGGCGGGAAGGCAGUGUUCCGGCUCUUGUGCUUCGGACAUGGAGCAACUUCUUUUAACCACUUGUCACAGGCUACGUGGGCAGCUCGUGCGUUCUGGAAUUUCUGAGGGAGACUUACCAAGUGCUUUCUGCUGAGACUGACGCAGCCAAGCGGGGGCAUCUGCGUGCCAGGAAUAUAUGGUUGCGUGUGUGCCACUGUUUAUCUGUUUGCAAAAUGUGCCAUAUGUUGACAGCCUAACAUAUGUCGAGCUAUAUGGAAGAUUAGUCAGAGAGAAAGAAGAGCCAGAAUAUGAGAAAGAGAGGGAGAAGAGGAAAUAUGAAAGUGAAAACAAACCCCAGUGACUGGCGAGAUGAUGAAUUCUUUGAGCUUGAGGGGUAUAUCUAGGUUACUUUUAAUCCCUACUGCCUGCAGUUUUGCUGGGCACGUAGGAGAUGCUUAGUUAGUAUAUCCUGAGAAGGAAAAGAGCCCAUGCAAGGUGCCUAGAACCAUGUCUCCUAUCACAGAUGGUGCAUGGCAAGUGUAGAUUGAAUGAAUGCAUGAGAGAAUGUUUAGAGCUAGAAAAACCCUCGGAGUUUCAUUGUAUCACUCUUUUACAGAUAAAACUGCAUCUUGGAGGAGCAUGAGAAUAAUGGCAGCCAGGCCAGCCUUGGGGCCUGGGUGCUGGAGCUGGAGCUGGAGCUUGGGUCCUGGGGUAUCAUCUACCACCUUCUUUGCCACACGGCUCUCACUGCUGGCGUCUGGACCCCACGUGUUGCUGCUGCAGCCGCCCUUGGCGCUGUCGGGAUUCUCAUCACAAGCCAAGGCCCCAUGCACCUGGAAGACAUUUGAACUCCUGCGCUGUUGA
rnacentral:lncRNA from 1 species